CCGCGCUGGUAUUAACAAUGCUAACACUGUAGCUUGCUAACAUGCUAACCGAGAUUAGCAUCACAAUUUUUGUGCAACUGCAUAAACAUAGUAUAGUAUUAAUAUUAUACCAUACUAUAGGAUUAACUUGUAUUAUUAAAGGCAGUUGAUUAGGUUAAUAGUGUUAUUAGGACAUGGAUCUUCUUCAAUUUAAGCCAUUAUCCUUUAGUUUAUCAAUCUAACAUUAAUCUCCAAAGCAGCUAGUGUUGAAAAGACAUCACUUUUUAAAAGGAGACAGCAUCAAACUCUGGCAGAUUGUCUUGAAUUAUAAGAUCCUCCACAUCUAAUAACACAAGUCAGUCAUUUCAGUUCAGUCAAUUUAUUUAUAUAUUUUUAUUAUUUCAUAGCGGGUCCAUCAGCCUCCAACAUUGCUCCAAGAAGCUGACAGGUCUACCUGUGCCCGUUGAAGUGGAGAGCAGUACCAUCGUGCUUACCAUCACACCUGGCUUUCCAGUUUCUACUCCUCCAGUGGAUCCAGCUGACUGGACAUCUGUCCUUAAUGACCAGUUAUAGGUUGAUGUGGUGAGCUGUAAAACCGACACAGGUUGACAGAGACAUUUUGACUUUUCCAAAAAGACACCCAGACAGUAAAAGUCUUUUCUAUCUUUACAUGUUUAGAUCACUCAUAAAGAAGGUGGUUGAGAAAACUGAUGCUAUCAACUUUUUUGUAGUUUUUGUCUCUUAAUCUCUUGUCUGGCUGUUAAUAAAGAUUUAAGCUUUGGUCAUAA